rnacentral:rRNA from 1 species
AGAACGAACGCUGGCGGCAGGCCUCAAACAUGCAAGUCUAGGGGGUGUAGCAAUACAUCACCGGCGGACGGGUGCGUAACACGUGGGAAUAUACCUUUUGGUUCGGAACAACGCAGGGAAACUUGCGCUAAUACCGAAUGUGCCCUUACGGGGAAAGAUUUAUCGCCAAAGGAUUAGCCCGCGUAGGAUUAGCUAGUUGGUGAGGUAAUGGCUCACCAAGGCUCCGAUCCUUAGCUGUUCUGAGAGGAAGAUCAGCCACACUGGGACUGAGACACGGCCCAGACUCCUACGGGAGGCAGCAGUUGGGAAUCUUGGACAAUGGGGGAAACCCUGAUCCAGCCAUGCCGCGUGAGUGAUGAAGGCCUUCGGGUUGUAAAACUCUUUCGACGGGGACGAUAAUGACGGUACCCGUAGAAGAAGCCCCGGCUAACGUUCGUGCCAGCAGCCGC